rnacentral:rRNA from 1 species
UUCAGGGGUAAACCUGAGAAACCCGAAAGGUCGAAAGGGGAGAUUCAGCGUGUCUCGGCGGUGGCGCUGGACGGUCGCGUGACGGACGGCGUGCGCGUCGUCCGCACCUUCUGUUCUCCGAACUGCUGUCGAACGCGUGCACUUCUCCCCCUGUAGGACGUCGCGAUCCGUUGGGCGCCGAUCUAAGGCCCGCGGUGGAGCCCGUCCGGACGGUUCGCCGUACCGGACGAACCCGCGGUGUUUCCCGGUCGGCACGCUCGACGGUAAGCAUGUGGCGCGAGGCCGCUACUCAGUUAGCGUUCGACCCGCGGCAAGCGCGUUCGUCGCGACGGUCGAUCGGACCUGGUGCCGGUCCCGUCCCCGGACGGCUGCUGGCUGCGGUGUUCUCGAACAGACCUCGUUGAAACGCCGAUCGGCGACGCUAUAGCUUUGGGUACUUUCAGGACCCGUCUUG